GAUGGCAAAAGUUGUUACAGGGUGGUGUGUGCAAUGAGGGUUUUGUAUUGUUUAUGAGUGUAGUUGAAUGGAUUGACCAUGGCGGAGUAUAAUAUAGACAUAUCAAAGCUUCCUGAAGACGUCAGGGACAAACUAGCAGAGCUGGAUUUGGAACUAUCUGAAGGUACGUAUCUGCAGUGCUGGUACACACUGAAAUCAGCGCGCCACAGCACUCCACGACGACGCUAAGGGGGCCCAGACAACGUGGCCUAGUGGUAAAAGGCCGGUAAUGUUGAUGCGGAAAUGUUGCAGCUGCGUCAGUCCCAUGAAGGCAUCUGAAGAAGUAAUCUGUAUUGACCCGACACAGCUGUAACAUUUUCGCUGUUUAUUAAUAAAGGAAAUACAGUUUCUAAACGAG
rnacentral:misc_RNA from 1 species